rnacentral:rRNA from 3 species
AAAUUGAAGAGUUUGAUCAUGGCUCAGAUUGAACGCUGGCGGCAGGCCUAACACAUGCAAGUCGAACGGUAACAGGAAGCAGCUUGCUGCUUCGCUGACGAGUGGCGGACGGGUGAGUAAUGUCUGGGAAACUGCCUGAUGGAGGGGGAUAACUACUGGAAACGGUGGCUAAUACCGCAUAACGUCGCAAGACCAAAGAGGGGGACCUUCGGGCCUCUUGCCAUCAGAUGUGCCCAGAUGGGAUUAGCUUGUUGGUGAGGUAACGGCUCACCAAGGCGACGAUCCCUAGCUGGUCUGAGAGGAUGACCAGCCACACUGGAACUGAGACACGGUCCAGACUCCUACGGGAGGCAGCAGUGGGGAAUAUUGCACAAUGGGCGCAAGCCUGAUGCAGCCAUGCCGCGUGUAUGAAGAAGGCCUUCGGGUUGUAAAGUACUUUCAGCGGGGAGGAAGGUGUUGUGGUUAAUAACCGCAGCAAUUGACGUUACCCGCAGAAGAAGCACCGGCUAACUCCGUGCCAGCAGCCGCGGUAAUACGGAGGGUGCAAGCGUUAAUCGGAAUUACUGGGCGUAAAGCGCACGCAGGCGGUCUGUCAAGUCGGAUGUGAAAUCCCCGGGCUCAACCUGGGAACUGCAUUCGAAACUGGCAGGCUUGAGUCUUGUAGAGGGGGGUAGAAUUCCAGGUGUAGCGGUGAAAUGCGUAGAGAUCUGGAGGAAUACCGGUGGCGAAGGCGGCCCCCUGGACAAAGACUGACGCUCAGGUGCGAAAGCGUGGGGAGCAAACAGGAUUAGAUACCCUGGUAGUCCACGCCGUAAACGAUGUCUACUUGGAGGUUGUGCCCUUGAGGCGUGGCUUCCGGAGCUAACGCGUUAAGUAGACCGCCUGGGGAGUACGGCCGCAAGGUUAAAACUCAAAUGAAUUGACGGGGGCCCGCACAAGCGGUGGAGCAUGUGGUUUAAUUCGAUGCAACGCGAAGAACCUUACCUGGUCUUGACAUCCACGGAAGAAUUCAGAGAUGGAUUUGUGCCUUCGGGAACCGUGAGACAGGUGCUGCAUGGCUGUCGUCAGCUCGUGUUGUGAAAUGUUGGGUUAAGUCCCGCAACGAGCGCAACCCUUAUCCUUUGUUGCCAGCGGUCCGGCCGGGAACUCAAAGGAGACUGCCAGUGAUAAACUGGAGGAAGGUGGGGAUGACGUCAAGUCAUCAUGGCCCUUACGACCAGGGCUACACACGUGCUACAAUGGCGCAUACAAAGAGAAGCGACCUCGCGAGAGCAAGCGGACCUCAUAAAGUGCGUCGUAGUCCGGAUUGGAGUCUGCAACUCGACUCCAUGAAGUCGGAAUCGCUAGUAAUCGUGGAUCAGAAUGCCACGGUGAAUACGUUCCCGGGCCUUGUACACACCGCCCGUCACACCAUGGGAGUGGGUUGCAAAAGAAGUAGGUAGCUUAACCUUCGGGAGGGCGCUUACCACUUUGUGAUUCAUGACUGGGGUGAAGUCGUAACAAGGUAACCGUAGGGGAACCUGCGGUUGGAUCACCUCCUUA